UCUCAGCUCUCCAACUGUGCGUCGGUGCUCGCCAGUAGUACGAGCCCCGAUGCCACGACUUGGGCCCAACAUUCCAUUGGGAAUCUACGGUCCAAUCGCCGAUGGCACGUCGGACUCUUACGAUGACCGACAUAUCUACGUUGGAGGAAGGCCGGCGAUGGCGAUGAAAUUUUUCUAAAUUGAAGCCAUGCCCCUUCCGCAGCCAGCUCUCGAGCAAGGCGACUGGCUAACUUGCCGACUUGGCUCUGGCCAAGAAAGGCAAAACACCAAUGCGACCAACGUCGCGUUUGCGACAUACCGACCAGGUCAUGAUC
rnacentral:lncRNA from 1 species